AUGGGGGAGCAGACCGCCAAUCUCACCGCGCUCAUGGAGACGCUGCUCUCCCGCUUCGACGAAGAGAAGGUGCUCGCCGACAAGCGCGCGGAGGCGCAAACGGCCUUCAACAACCAAGUCUCCCAAGAGCUCCAGAGCCCGACGAAGCAGAUUGGGCUCACCCAGGCGGACGUGGAUGACGUGCGCAAGGUCACGUCCCCUUCGACGUCGUCGGCUCCGUCAUCGGGGUCGCAGGUGGAGGAUCCAUCGGCGGCGGUGCUCCACACCCCCGGAGUGCGGGUGGGGUCGCAGCAACAACCACCCCCGCCUCCUCCGCCCGAUCUGCACACGGUGCCUCCUCCGCCCGAUCCGCGUGCAGCGCCUCCUCCGAGCGCGCUACCUUUUACGUGGACCAUCACGGGACAAGCUUCGACUGCGCGCCUCACCAACGACGGGCCACCCCUACUCGCAAGGCCCGACGGACCACGGGCGCCGUCGGAGCGUGCACCUCCGCCCGUUCUGCACGAGGAGUACGCGGUCAGGCCGCCCAAGCAUCAGUUUCUCCGUUUUGAUGGCGAGGCUCCGCGUGUCUGGUUGGAUCGCUGCUUGGCAUAUUUUGAGCUGUACCGCGUGCCGUUACACAACUGGGUGGCCACGGCGGCUCUAUACGUCGACGACCAUGCUGCUCUCUGGCUUCGGGCGUUCCGUCAGACCCAUGGCGAGCUCAUGUGGGACCUGUUCCGCCAAGCUGUAGUAGAGGAGUUCGGCCCUGAAGAAUUUGAGUCCCUGAUGCACAAACUACUUCAACUUCGUCAGACAGGCAGUGUCGUCGAGUACAGGCAACAAUUUGAAGUCUAUAUGUACAAUUUGUUGGCAUUGGACGCCACCCUUAGUCCCAAAUUCUUCGUCACCCAAUUCCUGCUGGGUCUCAAAGAUGAACUGCGCACCGCAGUGCGCAUUCAAGCUCCGUCCAGCAUCACUCGCGCCACGGUCUUCGCCAGGAUUCAGGAGGAGGAACUGGAACAACAACGCCCCCGUGUCCGUCAGACUGUCACCGGUCGUCCACCACCUGUGCCUGGCCGACCGCCUCCCUCGGUUGGUCCGACAACGCCGGGGGUGCCGGCCACGCGUCCAGCUCUGGCCACUGCGGGUGCCGAUGAUUUUGGCCGGGAACGUCAGCUCCGGGAUUACCGACGCCAGCAUGGCCUAUGCUUUCGCUGUGGCGACAAAUAUUCCAAGGAGCAUCAGUGCAAACGCUCGGCGCAACUUCUGACGAUCGAAGUGGGUGAACAUGCAGAAGUGCUCUCUGAUGAUGCCGUUCGUGCUCUGGAAUUGCUGGAUGAACCGGUCCCAGCGAUGGAAGCAGCUUGCUGUUUACUAUCGGCACAUGCAGUGCAAGGCACUGAAGCUCCAGAAACAAUGCGCCUGCGUGCAACAGUGGGCACUCAGACCAUGCUGUUGCUGGUGGAUUCAGGCAGCACACAUAGCUUUGUCAAUUCAUCCUUCGCUGCCAGAAUUCAAGCCAAGCCUACUAGCAUUCCUGCUAUUGCUGUUCGCGUGGCCAACGGUCAGCGCUUACAAUGCACGUCCAUGGUUCCAAACCUCACUUGGAGCACACCAGGUCAUGAGUUCAGCACAGACAUGCGAGUGCUCGAGUUGGGUGUCUAUGAUGCAGUACUGGGAGUGGACUGGUUAGCUGUACAUAGCCCCAUGCAGUGUGACUGGAGUCUGAAGACCAUGAACUUCCAAAGGCACGGGCACACCAUCCAGCUGACAGGCGUUCGGACAGAAGAAACAGCAGCAUUAUCGGUCAUGGACGCAGCCACCUUAUGGCAGAUGCAGGAAGCCAAUGAGAUUUUGGGGGCGGCCCUGCUUGAAAUUCAGACGACACCAACUACAGGUUCAGAGUCGGAGGCGCCACUUCCUGCAAUUAUUCAGAAAGUGCUCACAGAUUUCAGUGAUGUCUUUGAGGAACCAACAUGA
rnacentral:rRNA from 1 species